rnacentral:lncRNA from 1 species
CUGAUAUUUAAGUGCUGAAUUCUGGACAUUCCUGCAUGUCUAUGCUUCCAGCAAACAACCAGGCACUAGCAUGCUUACAUGUGCUGGACACUCAAAGGUUAUGAUUUCAAAGGGUUGAUGGCACCACCGUUGCCUUGGAGGAGCUGUCUAAUGGAUGAGGUAGACAUGAGCAUUGUUUUCAGCAGACUCAAAUUCACUCAGAUUAAUAUUUGUAAUUGCUAGAAAGAGUAUCAUAAUAGCAUCUUGUCUCUCUCGGUAGGCCAAAAUACAUGUCAGUUUAUUUAAUUUUCUAAUUUUGGACUUUCAAACUUAUUUUCUAAUUAGAAAUAAUUUGAGGAAGUAGAGGUCCAUUACAUUUUUCAAAAAUGCAAUUUUCUUGCUGAUCUAUUAAUAGUAUAGUAUUUUUAAAUGUUUUACUAAGAAGGUAAUUUUAGGAUUAAAGGAUAAUUUAUGUAAUGUCAAAUAGCAGUAAUAAUAGUAAUUCAGUGAAUACAGUUCUUUCAUCAUUCAAUUUGUGAAAAGCAUGUUGCCAUAACUUAAUUUCAUGACUGGAAAUUGAUAUAGGAAUCUAGUUAGGCUUUUAAAAUAUAAAGUCAUAAAGACAAGAGUAGUCUAAAGAGCAUUUGAAGGGAGUAAUGUAUCAUAAAUUUGAAAGAGGUAUUU